CCAGAUCAGAUCCCUCUCCUCCUCCCCCCCUGCCCAGCCGACCCCUUCUUCGCCCCUCCCUCCCCGCACGCCUUCCUCCUCCACGACCUCACGGACCGCGUGGCGGCCCUGGAGCUCGCGGCCCGCGCGGCGGCCCCGCAGCCGGCGCGCCGCAAGUACACCUACGCGGCCACGGAGCCCGGCGGCCGCAAGGUGAAGUGGACGGCGGAGGAGAAGCCGCGGGGCGGGGGCCGCGCGCUCAAGUGGGAGGCGGAGCUCGCCUCCCCCAACGACGACGGCUUCGACCGCAAGUGGCGGUGGGAGGCCAAGUCCAAGCCCGGCGGCAAGGCCAAGACCAAGUGGGGCACCGAGAUCAAGGGCAAGGGCUCGCUCCAGCCAUGGUCGCACGCCUACACCUGGGAGGAGGACUUCGCCGCCUCCGACGACGACGACGAUGAUGUGCUGGAGAUCGAGGAGCGCAAGCCGGAGAAGAAGAAGAAGGAGGACAAGCCCAAGAAGAUCAAGGAGAAUGACGACAAGAAGAAGAAGAAGCCGGCCAGGACGUGCGUCCAGAUCGAGGAGAUCCCCGAGGACAACUCCGCCGGCUGCGACGCCAUCCGCAAGGCGUUUGCCAUGGGGAACGGCAAGGGGAAGGCCAAGGAGCUGUCGCCGCAGGACGCCGCGCUGCUCAUCCAGAUGAACUACAGGGCGCACCUCGCCCACCGCUCCCAGGUGCUCCGCUGCCUGCGCGACCUCGCCGUCGCCAAGGCCAAGCUCAAGGAGCUCAGGUCCCUCUUCUACAACCUCUCCUACAGGCGCCGCCUCUCGCAUGACCACGAGGAGCGCCAGAGGUUCUCCGAGAAGAUCAUUGUCCUGCUGCUCACUGUCGAUGCGCUCGAGGGACCUGACUUCAUGGUGAGGACGGCGAAGAAAUCUAUGCUGGAGGAACUGGAGAGCAUGCUGGAGAUCGUGGACCCGCAGCCUCCAGGGAAGCAGAGGUCGUUCAGCCGCCGCAAGUUUGAUCUUCCUGAGGGCGGAGCGAUCCCGAACGAGAAAACUGCAGGCGUGAACAAUGCUGUCAGGGUCAUCAACACUGGCAAGAGCAAGCAGUAG
rnacentral:rRNA from 1 species